rnacentral:rRNA from 1 species
GUGCCAGCAGCCGCGGUAAAACGUAGGAAGCGAGCGUUAUCCGGAUUUACUGGGCGUAAAGCGCGUGUAGGCGGUUUGAUAAGUUGGAUGUGAAAUCUCCUGGCUCAACUGGGAGGGGUCGUUCAAAACUAUCAGACUAGAGGACAGUAGAGGAAGGUGGAAUUCCCGGUGUAGUGGUGAAAUGCGUAGAUAUCGGGAGGAACACCAGUGGCGAAAGCGGCCUUCUGGACUGUAUCUGACGCUCAGACGCGAAAGCUAGGGGAGCAAACGGGAUUAGAGACCCCGGUAGUCCUAGCUGUAAACGAUGUAGACUUGGCGUCGGUGGGUUUAAAGCCAUCGGUGCCGUAGCUAACGCGAUAAGUCUACCGCCUGGGGACUACGGCCGCAAGGUUAAA